ACCCGCCGGGGGGAGGGGGAAGGGGCACCCGGUGGCGCCCGGCUCGACUAUGUCAGCGCGGGUCCCGGGGGUGCGAGUCCCUGCCCCGGGCUGGUAGGACCUACUCCCUUCCCUGGCCUCAAGGCGCUCUUCAGAAUCUAAAAAGAAAACAGUUGGGGGCACGGUGCCCGUGAGCUGGGGCGCACGCCAGGGACAUCUUCCCUCCCCUGGUCCCUCCCCGAGCUUGAGGUCAGAACAGAGAUGAGAAUCUAGAGGAGAAAGGAAACUUUUGGGCUGAUGCCCACGCCGGGAAAGCUCUGGCCGACUCUUCGCGGCGCAAGCAUCUCGGUCUUCAUUUUACAGAUGAGCAUACUUGAAGCUUAGAGGAACCCAUUCAUUUCUUAAUCCAGCAGUUAUUAAAGCACCUACUUUGUGCCAGGCCCUGGGCUAGGCUCUGGAGAGACAACCACGAACAAGACACACGCUCAUGAAGGAAGACGCAAAACCUAAGGGAGUGGUGCCCAGCUGAACUCGGGCCCGCAGAGGUCCUCACAGAGGGGCCCAGGAGGGGCCUACCAGCUCUGCCACACGUGUAUCAAUACAGAGUGGUGGGCUGCCUCCCUGGACCUCUGUUUCUCCAUGUGGAAGUAGAGAACAUCUGCUCCCUUCCCCUAACUUUCUGGGAGGAAGGCCAGGGAGGAAGAGCCCUCUCUCCCCCAAGGUCUUGGUUCUUUUGGACAGGUCCACUUGCCAGAAGACCAAGGGGGCUUAUUUCUGCCAAAGCUGCAGGACAGGCCUCAGGGCUGGGCACGGAGCCCUAGUGACCUCACUGCCGGAGCAGGUACAGGGGGAGGAGGGGGAUGGGAUAGUUUCUAACUCAAGGGCACAACCUUUAGACACAGGGCCUCCUCUCUCAAACACUGAGUGGCUGAAGAGCCAGGGACAAGAGCUCUCUCCCUACAUGGUCUUUAUAAAGCAGUGCUGGAGAGCUGGGGCUGGGCUAACAGCUGCUGGCAGAUAGAUAUGGGUUCCAGUUCUGAUUCCAGUGGGUUCUAGCCGUGGCUGUGGGCAGUUCACUUAAGCCACUCUGAGUCUCAGUUUCAUCUCGAAAAUGGAGGAAAUGACAGUAUUUACCGUAUAGAGGUGUUGGGAGAUCAAAUGAGAUAAUGCAUUUAAAAUGCUGUACAGUGGUUAAGAAUCCGCCUGCCAAUGCAGGGGACACAAUGUUCGAGCCCUGGUCCAGGAAGAUCCCACAUGCUGCGGGGCAGCUAAGCCCGUGCGCCACAGCUGCUGAGCCUGUGCUCUAGAGCCUGCAAGCCACAACUACUGAGUCUGCAUGCUACAACUACUGAAGCCCCUGCACCUAGAGCCCGUGCUCCGCAACAAGAGAAGCCACCGCAAUGAGAAGCCACACACCGCGACAAAGAGAGUAGCCCCUGCUUGCCGCAACUAGAGAAAGCCCGCAUGCAGCAAUGAAGACCCAAUGCAGCCAAAAAUAAAUACAAUAAAUAAAUUAAAAAAAAAUUUUUUUAAUGCUGAGCAAGGUAGAUUGAAUAAAUGUUUGCUUGCUGCUA